AUUAGAUGAGCCUAUAUUAGAUUAGCUAGUUGGUGGAGUAAUAGCCUACCAAGGCAAUGAUCUAUAGCUGAUCUGAGAGGAUGAUCAGCCACACUGGAACUGAGAUACGGUCCAGACUCCUACGGGAGGCAGCAGUGGGGAAUAUUGGACAAUGGGCGAAAGCCUGAUCCAGCCAUGCCGCAUGAGUGAAGAAGGCCUUUGGGUUGUAAAGCUCUUUUAGUGAGGAAGAUAAUGACGGUACUCACAGAAGAAGUCCUGGCUAACUCCGUGCCAGCAGCCGCGGUAAUACGGAGAGGGCUAGCGUUAUUCGGAAUUAUUGGGCGUAAAGGGCGCGUAGGCUGAUUAAUAAGUUAAAAGUGAAAUCCCGAGGCUUAACCUUGGAAUUGCUUUUAAAACUAUUAAUCUAGAGAUUGAAAGAGGAUAGAGGAAUUCCUGAUGUAGAGGUAAAAUUCGUAAAUAUUAGGAGGAACACCAGUGGCGAAGGCGUCUAUCUGGUUCAAAUCUGACGCUGAAGCGCGAAGGCGUGGGGAGCAAACAGGAUUAGAUACCCUGGUAGUCCACGCUGUAAACGA
rnacentral:rRNA from 1 species